rnacentral:ncRNA from 1 species
ACCGCAGAUUCAGACAAUUGGCAUUUGCACUUGGCUGAAAAGCCAAUGGUGCGAAGCUACCAUCUGUUGGAUUAUGACUGAACGCCUCUAAGUCAGAAUCCUUGCUAGGACGCAACGAUAAUUACCUCCGGAGAAUCUUAGGCGAACAAGGAUAGAGAACGCGCUUGCCCGCUCUCCUGCGUCCCAAUGUGCCAAGAGGGAAAACAACCCUCAAGGCACUAAAGUAUAUCAAAGUUUAAAAUUUCUGGAGAUAAAUCCUUUGCAGACGACUUAAAUAAAGAACGGGGUAUUGUACGUUGUAGAGUAGCCUUGUUGCUACGAUCUUCUGAGAUUAAGAAUUUGUUCUACGAUUUGU